rnacentral:rRNA from 1 species
GAUGAACGCUGGCGGCGUGCUUAACACAUGCAAGUCGAACGAGAAGUGAAGACGGAAACCUUCGGGCGGAAGGCUUUAUUUCGAGUGGCGGACUGGUGAGUAACGCGAGGGUAACCUGCCUCAUACAGGGGGAUAACAGUUGGAGACGACUGUUAAUACCGCAUAAGACCACAGACCCGCAUGGUGCGGGGGUAAAAACUCCGGUGGUAUGAGAUGCACCCGCGUUCCAUUAGCCAGUUGGCGGGGUAACGGCCCACCAAAGCGACGAUCGAUAGCCGAUCUGAGAGGAGGACCGGCCACAUUGGGACUGGGGCACGGCACAGACUCCUACGGAAGGCAGCAGUGGGGAAUAUUGCACAAUGGGCGAAACCCUGAUGCACCGACGCCGCGUGAGUGAAGAAGUAUUUCGGUAAGUAAAGCUCUAUCAGCAGGGAAGAUAAUGACGGUACCUGAGUAAGAAGCCCCGGCUAACUACGUG